CCUACGGGAGGCAGCAGUGAGGAAUAUUGGUCAAUGGGCGUAAGCCUGAACCAGCCAAGUCGCGUGAGGGAUGAAGGUCCUAUGGAUCGUAAACCUCUUUUAUAAGGGAAUAAAGUGCGGGACGUGUGCCUUUUUGUAUGUACCUUAUGAAUAAGGAUCGGCUAACUCCGUGCCAGCAGCCGCGGUAAUACGGAGGAUCCGAGCGUUAUCCGGAUUUAUUGGGUUUAAAGGGUGCGUAGACGGCCUUUUAAGUCAGCGGUGAAAGUUUGUGGCUCAACCGUAGAAUUGCAGUUGAUACUGGGAGGCUUGAGUAUGUUUGAGGCAGGCGGAAUGCGUGGUGUAGCGGUGAAAUGCUUAGAUAUCACGAAGAACCCCGAUUGCGAAGGCAGCCUACCAAGCCAUGACUGACGCUGAUGCACGAAAGCGUGGGGAUCAAACAGGAUUAGAUACCCCUGUAGUC
rnacentral:rRNA from 1 species